rnacentral:rRNA from 1 species
UACGGAGGGGCGAGCGUUACUCGGAAUUACUGGGCGUAAAGGGCGCGUAGGCGAUUUUGUAAGUCUUGUGUGAAAGCCCAAAGCCUAACUUUGGAAGUGCAUAAGAUACUGCGAGAAUUGAGUUCCGGAGAGGAAGAUGGAAUUCCCGGUGUAGCGGUGAAAUGCGUAGAGAUCGGGAGGAACACCCAGCGGCGAAGGCGGCGCCUGGACAGGUCUGACACUCAACUACGAAAGCGUGGG